AUUUACUUUGGGCAUGACAAAUAAAGAAAAAUAGAAACAGUUUGGCACAACUGGGGAAGAAAACCACUGACAGACUCCUCUUCGUGCACUAACAGUUGCACAGGCAUCAGAUUUCGAUCACUCAGAGGUUCUACGCAAAGGAAAGGCAUUGGUUUGAUCGUUUGUGGCACCCGCUCGGCAUUGAGAGUACGAUCCAGGUUCCAGUUCUACACCCCGUGGCUGAUACGCGAGGGUGACAUCUUUCAGUCAUUCAGGGUGAGCUACUUGGUCAUCCGUGGCCCCUGAAGGACCUCCUCUAUUUAUUUCUGUUUUUGUAUUCGACAGACAAUAUGUAGUCUUCAGGUAUUUUCAGACUUAUAUUCCGUACUAUGUUAGCGCUCUUGUACCCUUUGACCAGAUUUUGGGGUUGUCAUGACAUUUCUAGUUAUGAUAAGUAUUUAAGACUUGAUAAUUUAUUUUUA